UGGUGGAGUGAUUUGUCUGGUUAAUUCCGUUAACGAACGAGACCGCCGCCUGCUAAAUAGUUCUACCAAUGGUUUUUCAUUGGUAAGAGCUUCUUAGAGGGACGUUCAUUCCACAGGAUGAAGGAAGAUGGCGGCAAUAACA
rnacentral:rRNA from 1 species